CGGGGUUCGCCCACGGGUCGGCGGGCCGGGACGGUUGCUGCCCGUCCGGGUCCUGCGGUUCGUUCGGCCCGGUCAUCGUCGCC
rnacentral:tRNA from 1 species